rnacentral:rRNA from 1 species
AAAAGAAACUAACAAGGAUUCCCCUAGUAACGGCGAGUGAAGCGGGAAGAGCUCAAAUUUGAAAUCUGGUAGCCUUCGGUUGCCCGAGUUGUAAUCUAGAGAAGUGUUUUCCGUGCCGGCCCAUGUACAAGUCCCUUGGAACAGGGCGUCAUAGAGGGUGAGAAUCCCGUCCUUGACAUGGACCCCCGGUGCUUUGUGAUACACUUUCAACGAGUCGAGUUGUUUGGGAAUGCAGCUCAAAAUGGGUGGUGAAUUCCAUCUAAAGCUAAAUAUUGGCGAGAGACCGAUAGCGAACAAGUACCGUGAGGGAAAGAUGAAAAGCACUUUGGAAAGAGAGUUAAACAGUACGUGAAAUUGUUGAAAGGGAAACGAUUGAAGUCAGUCAUGCUCUUAGGAUUCAGCCGUUCUGCGGUGUAUUUCCUUUGAGUGGGGUCAACAUCAGUUUUGAUCGAUGGAUAAAGGCACGAGGAAGGUAGCACUCUCGGGUGAACUUAUAGCCUCGCGUCAUAUACAUUGAUUGGGACUGAGGAACGCAGCAUGCCUUUAUGGCCGGGAUUCGUCCACGUACAUGCUUAGGA